GAUGAACGCUAGCGGCAGGCCUAACACAUGCAAGUCGAGGGGUAGCAGGAUUAAGCUUGCUUAAUUGCUGACGACCGGCGCACGGGUGCGUAACGCGUAUGCAACCUACCUUAUACUGGGGUAUAGCCCGGAGAAAUUCGGAUUAAUCCCCCAUAGUACUAAUGAAUCGCAUGGUUUAUUAGUUAAAGCAUUGCUGUAUAAGAUGGGCCUGCGUCCUAUUAGCGAGAUGGUGAGGUAACGGCUCACCAUGGCUACGAUAGGUAGGGGGCCUGAGAGGGUGGUCCCCCACACUGGAACUGAGACACGGUCCAGACUCCUACGGGAGGCAGCAGUGGGGAAUUUUGGACAAUGGGCGAAAGCCUGAUCCAGCCAUUCCGCGUGCAGGAUGAAGGCCCUCGGGUUGUAAACUGCUUUUGUACAGAACGAAAAGGUUUCUACUAAUACUAGGAGCUCAUGACGGUACUGUAAGAAUAAGCACCGGCUAACUACGUGCCAGCAGCCGCAGUAA
rnacentral:rRNA from 1 species